UUUCUUUUUAUGUCUGUGAUAAUGCUUUAUGUCUAAAUUGAACUGUUUUGGCAUGUGAAGGAUUUAUUCAUGCUCUGAGUGGAUCCGUUUGGUUCUCAUUAAUUUAAUUUAAUCAUUAGAUAUUAUAAGAUACUAUACCCCAGUGUCAAAGUACCUCCCUUUUCACAGGCUGGAAGGUCAACAUCCCCACAUACUUGGUUGGCUGAUCUUCGUUGUCAGUACAUCCAGUAGACCCUUUUAAAAAGAAUAGCCUGAGAAAAACCUUCUGUAGAUAGCCAGCCAGUCAGAGGAUGGAGUAACCGUGUUUUGUUUCACUAGCCUCUUCCUUCUUUCUGAAGAUGGCUGGGGAACUCCCUCAUUCAAAAUCAAGAUGCAUGUUACAGGACAUGAAGAGGUCCCAUAACAAUGUUUUCUUAUAAUCUAGUAAGCUCACUCACCUUGCUUCUCUAUGACUGUUUAUCUCUAGUGGUUUUAAGGAUGAUUUUGCACAGUUUUCAACUCAGCAUGUGCUGGAAGAUAAAAUGCCUGGAUCAACUUCCUAUUAAGAAUAUUAGUCAUCUGGAAAAGAGAGAAUACAGGAAGACAGAAAAUGAAGAAAAAAACCACAUUCUUCGAAUCACAGUCUUUGUCCCAAAGGCAGCACACGCCUCUGACACCCCCGUCCACUCCUCCUGCCAGCUUCGCUCUAGAGAGAAAGCUGUGAAGAUAGAAUUGACCAGACUCCAGCUAUUUUAUGCAUACAGUAGUUUGGUCCCUUAAAAUUUGAAUUAUGGACCACAUUGCUUUCUCCUGGAAAAUCUCUCAGAAGGGGAAAAGGUAUUCCAAUGACAACAUGAGUGUGAAUUUAUGUGGAGACUAAGCGGACCCAAAAGUAUUCAUUUUGAUUUUAUUGUUAGAACUAUCCGUAGAGAACUAACCACUUCAUUAGCAUGCCCCUGGCACUGGGGCGAAGAGCUGAAGUUUCAUUCUUCCGGACAUCGUGUUACUCACUUAGCCCUCUCAUCAUCGCUAAAUACACUUUCUACUCAACACAACCAGAUCCAAUGCAGUCACCUCGUCUGAGUAACACCUUAUUUUACAGACCUGACUUGCCCCAGCAAACACUUCUGGAGUGCCAAACCAGUGAUGGUUGCUACAGUUAUUUUCUCAUCUGCUCCUGUUUCAGAGGAGGAUAUGUAUCAGAAAUAAGAAAAUGGCCUGAGAAGAAACAAGAAAGAGGUGAACUGCUAAAAGCAAUGCCAACUAUGGAAAAUUAUCAGCUACCUAAAAUCUUUUAUUUCUGUUUGUGGCACAAAAGUGUGGCUCAAAGAAUCAUACUGAAAAAAGAAAUUUUAAACAAUGUUUUGGCUAGGUACAAAUAUGAAAUAAAUGUUUUGGUUGUUUCUUGCCUUCUUUUGUU
rnacentral:lncRNA from 1 species